rnacentral:misc_RNA from 1 species
GGAAGCAGUUUCUGUUUGACUGCUUUUAUUUCAUCCAUUGUAUGUGAUAAGAUCAACUUCUGCAGCAAGAAGGAUGCAAGUGAAAUUUACUGAGUUUAUGCCUGAAGAUUAUCCCUCUUUAGCAAAGUUGUUUGCUUAUAUUGUUUGCCCUGUGUUAAAAAUUGUUCUAAAAGUUAGUGAUAAGUAAAAAUAUGGUAAGUACACAAGUGGUAUACAUAUUGCAAGGAAAAAUUGUUGUAAGCCUGACUUAAAUUUACACUCUACUGCUUUUGUCAUUGCAUUAUGCAACCUGCUAGAUUGUCAUUCCAUUAAUACAUUGGAAUGUGGUCAGAUCAAAGUUUG